rnacentral:tRNA from 1 species
GGCAAGGUGGCCGAGUGGUCUAAGGCGCUGGUUUUAGGUUAUGCCUCUGCUGGGAAAUAUCCGAAAAUUCCUCUCAACGGGGAAACUAUGCAGAAAUUACCACCAGUCUGAAAGGGCAUGGGUUCGAAUCCCAUCCUUGUCA